GACAGAGGGUGCGAACGUUGCUCGGAAUUACUGGGCGUAAAGCGUGUGUAGGCGGCCACGCAAGUCGGAUGUGAAAGCCCCAGGCUCAACCUGGGAAGUGCACCCGAUACUGCAUGGCUGGAGUACCGGAGAGGUUGGUGGAAUUCUCGGUGUAGAGGUGAAAUUCGUAGAUAUUCGGAAGAACACCAGUGGCGAAGGCGGCUCACUGGACGACUGUUGACGCUGAGGUACGAAAGCGUGGGGAGCAAACAGG
rnacentral:rRNA from 1 species